rnacentral:rRNA from 1 species
AGAGUUUGAUCCUGGCUCAGAUUGAACGCUGGCGGUAUGCUUAACACAUGCAAGUCGAACGGAAACGAUACUAGCUUGCUAGUAGGCGUCGAGUGGCGGACGGGUGAGUAACGCGUAGGAAUCUACCUAAUAGUGGGGGAUAGCCCGGAGAAAUCCGGAUUAAUACCGCAUAAUCUCUAUGGAGUAAAGGGGCCCUCUUCUUGAAAGGUUUCGCUAUCAGAUGAGCCUGCGUAAGAUUAGCUAGUUGGUGAGGUAAAAGCUCACCAAGGCGACGAUCUUUAGCUGGUCUGAGAGGAUGAUCAGCCACACUGGGACUGAGACACGGCCCAGACUCCUACGGGAGGCAGCAGUGGGGAAUAUUGGACAAUGGGGGCAACCCUGAUCCAGCAAUACCGCGUGUGUGAAGAAGGCCUGAGGGUUGUAAAGCACUUUC